AUGUCUCCCUCCCAGUCCUCACUACUGCUGCUGCUGCUGAUGGUCUCCUGCUCCUGGGCCCCCCGCUCCUUAGGAGGAACCAUGACCUUCAUCUUCAUAGGGACCAACCCAGACGGAACCUACGGGGUGGACGUUUAUUACAAGACAGCCUUUACACGUUGUGGUACAUGGUUGUGUACCAGUGAGGACUGUGGGAAUGAGGUUAUGAUAGAGGGUCAGACAGUGGACCAGGAGAUGUCUGGGGACUGGUGUCAGACAGAAGGAGUCUUUAAUGUUGACUUAUCCAGUAACACAGUCGACUUUUCUCUGCGAUUGAAUAGAAGUUUAUGGAUAGACAAUGAUAAUUCUGUUGUUGUUUGGAGGCUGUGGCCCUAUGUGGAUCUUGGGGUCAGGUCUGACACGGGGACAGUCAACCGAUCUCCACAGACCACUGUCAUACCUCUAAUGCGUGUCCCUGCUAAUUGUCAAAGAGAUUUCAACCUGUUGCUGUUUGAUCCAGAUGGGGAUCAGGUCAGAUGCAGAUAUGCAGUACCAACGGAUGAGUGUUACACAUCAAGUGACCUUCCUAAUGACUUCACUCUACGAGAGAACUGCACCUUGUCAUUUUGGGGCAACAGUAAUACCACUGGAACAUAUGCAGUUCAGUUAAUGAUGGAGGAUUUCCCUACUCAGUCCAUCUCUCUCUCCUAUACUGACGGAUAUCAAUCUAACAGGACCUCAAACGAUACACUCUGCAAACUACCUGUUCAGUUUGUAGUGAGAGUGGACCCCCCGGUGACAUCCUGUAUGGAGGGGUUGGACCUACCCAUGUUCGUGUCUCCAACACCAGCCCAGGGUACACUGCUGAACGCCUCUGCAGACCAACCCCUGGAAAUCAUUGUCAGAGCACAGGCUACCAACUCCACGGUUUCAGAGCUGUUGGUGAGUGGACCUUCCGGUAUCACAGAUAACACCACUGAUCCAGGAAAGUACCUUCUGAGAUGGACGCCCACUGAGGAUGAGGAGGGAGGGUACUAUCCUGUGUGCUUCAUCGCUCAGGGAGUGAACAACAGUUCCAAGUAUCACUCUGAGCUGCGCUGUGUGAUCGUCAGGGUUGGAAACACAAGCGCCAUCAUAACCACAGAGCCAACAACCUCUCUUCCUCUGACAAUAAACCUCACAACCACAGAGGAACCAACAACCUCCCCUCCUCUGACAAUAAACCUCACGACCACAGAGGAACCAACAACCUCCCCUCCUCCGACAACAAAUCUCACAACCACAGAGGAGCCAACAACCUCCCCUCCUCUGACAAUAAACCUCACGACCACAGAGGAACCAACAACCUCCCCUCCUCCGACAAUAAAUCUCAUAACCACAGAGCCAACAACCUCCCCUCCUCUGACAAUAAACCUCACGACCACAGAGGAACCAAUAACCUCCCCUCAUCUGACAAUUAACCUCACGACCACAAAGGAACCAACAACCUCUCCUCCUCAGACAAUAAAUCUCAUAACCACAGAGGAACCAAUAACCUCUCCUCCUCUGACAAUAAACCUCACGACCACAGAGAUUGCACCUGAACUUCCAACCACGCCCACAAAUUUCAGUACAUACGCAACCACAGCAUCCCCAACUUUAAGUACAAACCCAACCACCGAUCUCACAACCCAUAUUGUGGACAGUACAACAAAGAACAGUGGGCCUAGUAAGUACAAAAUUAACUUUUGUUCAAAAAUUUUAAAAAAAAUAUGUGUAUGUGUGUUGUAA
rnacentral:lncRNA from 1 species